UGUGCCAUCACAGUGCUCCAAUGUGACAUCACAGUGCUACAUUGUGCCAUCACAGUGUCCAUUGUGUCAUGACAAUGAUCCAUUGUGUUAUCAUAGU
rnacentral:miRNA from 1 species